UACGGCUAUAUCACGUUGAAAUACCGGUUCUUGUUCAAUCACUGAAGUUAAGCAACGUCGGGCCUAGUCAGUAACUAGAUGAGUGACUGUCUGGGAAUAACAGGUGCCGUAA